AUUGAACGCUGGCGGCGUGCUUAACACAUGCAAGUCGAGCGGAAAGGCCACUUCGGUGGUACUCGAGCGGCGAACGGGUGAGUAACACGUGAGUAAUCUGCCCUUGGCUUUGGGAUAGCCACCGGAAACGGUGAUUAAUACCGGAUACGACCACUUCUCGCAUGGGAUGGUGGAGGAAAGUUUUUCGGGCAGGGAUGUGCUCGCGGCCUAUCAGCUUGAUGGUGAGGUAAGGGCUCACCAUGGCUUCGACGGGUAGCCGGCCUGAGAGGGUGACCGGUCACACUGGGACUGAGACGCGGCCCAGACUCCUACGGGAGGCAGCAGUGGAGAAUAUUGGAGAAUGGGCGGAAGCCUGAUCCAGCAACGCCGCGUGAGGGAUGACGGCCUUCGGGUUGUAAACCUCUUUCGGUAGGGACGAAGCGCAAGUGACGGUACCUACUAAAGAAGCACCGGCCAACUACGUGCCAGCCGCCGCGGUAAAAC
rnacentral:rRNA from 1 species